rnacentral:lncRNA from 1 species
CGUGGGUCCAUGACCAUCAACAACAACCAGAAAAAUGAAGAAGAAACCGUUUGGAUUUCCCUGUAAGUGUUUUACUAUUUCUAUUAACUUUCUUCAAUUACAGUGAAAUAAAAGGAAGAGAUGGUGUUUAGCAACCAAACUCAAAAAGCACAUACAAAACCCCAAAAGUCCAACAAAGAGAUGAGUAGAUUGAGCAACUCAGAUUUUGGGAUGAAUUGAUUUAUCAGGGAGGGAGCGAGAAAAGAGAUCGAUUGAUCU